rnacentral:rRNA from 1 species
UACAGAGGGUGCGAGCGUUAAUCGGAAUUACUGGGCGUAAAGCGCGCGUAGGCGGCUUUGCAAGUCGGGUGUGAAAUCCCCAGGCUUAACCUGGGAACUGCGAUUCGAGACUGCAUUGCUAGAGUAUGGGAGAGGGAAGUGGAAUUUCCGGUGUAGCGGUGAAAUGCGUAGAUAUCGGGAGGAACACCAGUGGCGAAGGCGGCUGCCUGGGCCAGUUCUGACGCUGAGGCGCGAAAGCGUGGGGAGCAAACAGGAUUAGAUACCC